AUUGAACGCUGGCGGCAGGCCUAACACAUGCAAGUCGAGCGGAUGAGGGAAGCUUGCUUCCCGAUUUAGCGGCGGACGGGUGAGUAAUGCCUAGGAAUCUGCCUAUUAGUGGGGGAUAACGUUCCGAAAGGAACGCUAAUACCGCAUACGUCCUACGGGAGAAAGUGGGGGAUCUUCGGACCUCACGCUAAUAGAUGAGCCUAGGUCGGAUUAGCUAGUUGGUGGGGUAACGGCUCACCAAGGCGACGAUCCGUAGCUGGUCUGAGAGGAUGAUCAGCCACACUGGAACUGAGACACGGUCCAGACGCCUACGGGAGGCAGCAGUGGGGAAUAUUGGACAAUGGGCGAAAGCCUGAUCCAGCCAUGCCGCGUGUGUGAUGAAGGCCUUCGGGUUGUAAAGCACUUUCAAUGGGGAGGAAAAAGCACGGGCGAAUACCCUGUUCCUUGACAUUACCCAUACAAGAAGCACCGGCUAACUCCGUGCCAGCAGCCGCGGUAAAAC
rnacentral:rRNA from 1 species